CCUACGGGUGGCAGCAGUGAGGAAUAUUGGUCAAUGGGCUUACGCCUGAACCAGCCAAGUCGCGUGAGGGAAGACUGCUCUAUGGGUCGUAAACCUCUUUUGUCAGGGAGUAACGUCGGCUACGUGUAGCCGGACUGAGAGUACCUGAAGAAAAAGCUUCAGCUAACUCCGUGCCACCAGCGGUGGGAAUACGGAGGAUGCGAGCGUUAUCCGGAUUUAUUGGGUUUAAAGGGUGCGUAGGCGGAAUGCCAAGCCCGCGGUAAAAUCGCGGGGCCCACCCUAGCUCCGCCGUUGAAACUGGCGUUCUUGAGUAGGCGAGAAGUAUGCGGAAUGCGUGGUGUAGCGGUGAAAUGCAUAGAUAUCACGCAGAACUCCGAUUGCGAAGGCAGCAUGCCGGCGCCCAACUGACGCUGAAGCACGAAAGCGUGGGUAUCGAACAGGAUUAGAUACCCGAGUAGUC
rnacentral:rRNA from 1 species